rnacentral:rRNA from 1 species
UACGAAGGGGGCGAGCGUUGUUCGGAAUUACUGGGCGUAAAGGGCGCGCAGGCGGCUCUGAAAGUCAGAUGUGAAAGCCCCGGGCUUAACCUGGGAAUUGCAUUUGAUACUCUGGAGCUUGAGUACGGGAGAGGAGAGUGGAAUUCCCAGUGUAGAGGUGAAAUUCGUAGAUAUUGGGAAGAACACCGGUGGCGAAGGCGGCUCUCUGGACCGUAACUGACGCUGAGGCGCGAAAGCGUGGGGAG